GCGAACGCUGGCGGCGUGCUUAACACAUGCAAGUCAAACGGUUCCGGGGUAGCAAUACUCCGGGAUAGUGGCGAACGGGUGAGUAACACGUGGGUAAUCUUCCCCCGAGUGAGGAAUAAGCUUGCGAAAGCGGGUCUAAUACCGCAUGAAGCUUCGGGACAUCAGUCUUCGAAGCCAAAGCCGUAAGGCGCUUGGGGAUGAGCCUGCGUCCUAUUAGCUAGUUGGUAGGGUAAUGGCCUACCAAGGCGAUGAUGGGUAGCCGGCCUGAGAGGGUGAUCGGCCACACUGGAACUGAGACACGGUCCAGACUCCUACGGGAGGCAGCAGUGAGGAAUUUUGCGCAAUGGGCGAAAGCCUGACGCAGCGACGCCGCGUGGAGGAAGACGGCCUUCGGGUUGUAAACUCCUGUCAGAGGUGAAGAACGCCCGCAAGGGCUUGACGGUAACCUCAGAGGAAGCCCCGGCUAACUACGU
rnacentral:rRNA from 1 species